GACGAACGCUGGCGGCGUGCUUAACACAUGCAAGUCGAACGGGCCUGUCUUCUUUUUUGGGGGGUGGGUUGAGUGGCGAACGGGUGAGUAUCACGUGAGUAACCUGCCCUUCGGUCCUGGAUAACCGCUUGAAAGGGCGGCUAAUACGGGGUGGUCCGGUUGGUCCGCAUGGGCUGGUCGGGAUAGAUUCACUGUUUUUGGUGUUUCGGCGGGGGAUGGGCUCGCGGCCUAUCCGCUUGUUGGUGGGGUGAUGGCCUACCAAGGCGGUGACGGGUAGCCGGCCUGAGAGGGUGGGCGGCCACACUGGGACUGAGAUACGGCCCAGACUCCUGCGGGAGGCAGCAGUGGGGGGUAUUGCACACGGGGCGGCAGCCUGAUGCAGCGACGUCGCGUGAGGGAUGGAGGCCUUCGGGUUGUGAACCUCUGUUUCCGGUGGUGAAGGCCCUGUCCGUGUGGUGGGGUUGACGGUAGCCGGGGAUGAAGCGCCGGCUAACUACGUG
rnacentral:rRNA from 1 species